GAUGAACGCUGGCGGCGUGCCUAAUACAUGCAAGUCGAGCGAACAGACGAGGAGCUUGCUCCUCUGAUGUUAGCGGCGGACGGGUGAGUAACACGUGGAUAACCUACCUAUAAGACUGGGAUAACUUCGGGAAACCGGAGCUAAUACCGGAUAAUAUAUUGAACCGCAUGGUUCAAUAGUGAAAGACGGUUUUGCUGUCACUUAUAGAUGGAUCCGCGCCGCAUUAGCUAGUUGGUAAGGUAACGGCUUACCAAGGCAACGAUGCGUAGCCGACCUGAGAGGGUGAUCGGCCACACUGGAACUGAGACACGGUCCAGACUCCUACGGGAGGCAGCAGUAGGGAAUCUUCCGCAAUGGGCGAAAGCCUGACGGAGCAGCGCCGCGUGAGUGAUGAAGGUCUUCGGAUCGUAAAACUCUGUUAUUAGGGAAGAACAAAUGUGUAAGUAACUAUGCACGUCUUGACGGUACCUAAUCAGAAAGCCACGGCUAACUACGUG
rnacentral:rRNA from 1 species